rnacentral:rRNA from 1 species
UACGAAGGGGGCUAGCGUUGCUCGGAAUUACUGGGCGUAAAGGGUGCGUAGGCGGGUCUUUAAGUCAGGGGUGAAAUCCUGGAGCUCAACUCCAGAACUGCCUUUGAUACUGAAGAUCUUGAGUUCGGGAGAGGUGAGUGGAACUGCGAGUGUAGAGGUGAAAUUCGUAGAUAUUCGCAAGAACACCAGUGGCGAAGGCGGCUCACUGGCCCGGUACUGACGCUGAGGUGCGAAAGCGUGGGGAGCAAACAGG